rnacentral:rRNA from 1 species
UACGUAGGGGGCAAGCGUUGUCCGGAUUUAUUGGGCGUAAAGAGCGUGUAGGCGGCUUUACAGGUCCGUUGUGAAAACUCGAGGCUCAACCUCGAGACGCCGGUGGAAACCGUAAAGCUAGAGUCCGGAAGAGGAGAGUGGAAUUCCUGGUGUAGCGGUGAAAUGCGCAGAUAUCAGGAGGAACACCCGUGGCGAAGGCGGGUCUCUGGGCAGUAACUGACGCUGAGGAGCGAAAGCGUGGGGAGCGAACAGG